rnacentral:rRNA from 1 species
CUACGGGGGGCUGCAGUUAGGAAUAUUCUGCAAUACGCGCAAGCGUGACAGAUUGAACCAGAGUGCUUUCCAACUGGAAAGCUUUUGCCAAAUGUAAAAAGUUUGGCGAAUAAGGACUGGGUAAGACGAGUGCCAGCCGCCGCGGUAAUACUCGCGGUCCAAGUCGCAGCCAUUUUUAUUGGGUCUAAAACAUCCGUAGCUUGCUUGAUAAGUUUCCUGUGAAAUCCGGCUUCUUAAGAGUCGGACGGGCGGGAAGUACUACCAAGCUAGAGACUGGAAGACGUAAGAAGUACGGUUAAAGUAGCGGUAAAAUGUGUUAAUCUUAAUCGGACUAACAAUAGCGAAGGCAUCUUACGAGGACAGUUCUGACAGUAAGGGAUGAAGGCUAGGGGCGCAAAACGGAUUAGAUACCCGCGUAGUC